GGCGAACGCUGGCGGCGUGCUUAACACAUGCAAGUCGAACGGAAAGGCCCUGCUUUUGUGGGGUGCUCGAGUGGCGAACGGGUGAGUAACACGUGAGUAACCUGCCCUUGACUUUGGGAUAACUUCAGGAAACUGGGGCUAAUACCGGAUAGGAGCUCCUGCUGCAUGGUGGGGGUUGGAAAGUUUCGGCGGUUGGGGAUGGACUCGCGGCUUAUUAGCUUGUUGGUGGGGUAGUGGCUUACCAAGGCUUUGACGGGUAGCCGGCCUGAGAGGGUGACCGGCCACAUUGGGACUGAGAUACGGCCCAGACUCCUACGGGAGGCAGCAGUGGGGAAUAUUGCACAAUGGGCGGAAGCCGGAUGCAGCAACGCCGCGUGCGGGAUGACGGCCUUCGGGUUGUAAACCGCUUUCGCCUGUGACGAAGCGUGAGUGACGGUAAUGGGUAAAGAAGCACCGGCUAACUACGUG
rnacentral:rRNA from 1 species